UUGACAGUGGACACUCUGUUUUAAGAUGACCCGAAGUGGAUAGACCAAACCACACCAAAAAGGGCAUCAAUAAUGACGCUGACCCAAACCAAUUGACCGAUUUGACCCAAACCAAUUGACCCAUUUGACCCAAACCGAGAAAGUGCCAAGUCCAGCCAAUGCAUGGGUAAACGUAACAGUUGGCCAUGUGAUCGAAAUAGAAACAAAAUAAAAUAAAAUAUAAGCUAUGGCUAUGGCUAUUCAGAGUUGAACAAGAAAGUGAAAAUUCAAGUACCGAGAAAAUGGGCAAGUCCUUCAAGUCCAACAGGAUCGCUGAAGUAACCAACGCCAACAUCCAUUGAAGCAGAACACUGAACAAAAUUUAACCGCAGUACCUUAUCGGUAUCGGGAUCGCUAAUGAGGAGAACCUCAAGCGAGUUUUUAAGGACGAUCCGCCGAUACUCUCUCUUAUCAUUACGCGGCUUCACUAUCUCCACUUCCUCCACCGCCAUUUCAGCUGUUGCUUUGCAGAGAGGGAAACGCGGGACGGGAAAUUAAUAAGAGUAAGUAAACGCGAGUCUUUGCUCUCUGAUCUUAGAUUAUGGUGAUUUAUAAAAGUAUCAGGCAGCAUUGUGGAAGUCAAUCGGAGACUAAGAACAACGACGUUGACUAGGAGGAACUGGACAAAGGGAAGAUGACUCGACUGGUUUGUUUACAUGUUUGUAAUUAAAAUAAUGAUUUUGUGAUUUUUGAAUUUUUUUUUGAAGAAGAUUUUAUAAAUUUAGUUAAUAGUACGUAAUUAUCUA